GUGCUCACUUUGGCAGCACAUACACUAAAACUGGAAUGAUAGAUCAGAAUGGCCCCUGCGCAAAGAUGACAUACAAAUUUCUGAAGCACUGCAUUUAAAA
ensembl:snRNA U6 U6 spliceosomal RNA